CCUGUCUGAACAUGGGGGGACCACCCUCCAAGCCUAAGUACUCCUCAGCGACCGAUAGCGAACAAGUACCGUGAGGGAAAGGUGAAAAGCACCCCGACAAGGGGAGUGAAACAGUUCCUGAAACCGGAUACCUACAAACAGUCGGAGCCCAAGGUUCGUCCUGGGUGACGGCGUACCUUUUGUAUAAUGGGUCAGCGAGUUAGUCUAACGAGCAAGCUUAAGCCGGUAGGUGUAGGCGCAGCGAAAGCGAGUCUGAACAGGGCGUUCAGUUCGACGCAUUAGACCCGAAACCGAGUGAUCUAGCCAUGAGCAGGUUGAAGG
rnacentral:rRNA from 1 species